GGUACUGCAGGAAUAAGCAUCGGCUAACUCCGUGCCAGCAGCCGCGGUAAUACGGAGGAUGCAAGCGUUAUCCGGAUUCAUUGGGUUUAAAGGGUGCGCAGGCUGUAAGGCAAGUCAGUGGUGAAAGCCCUGGGCUUAACUCAGGGAUUGCCAUUGAAACUGUUUUACUAGAGUGUAGUAGAGGACGGCGGAAUGAGUUGUGUAGCGGUGAAAUGCAUAGAUAUAACUCAGAACACCUAUUGCGUAGGCAGCUGUCUAUACUACAACUGACGCUGAGGCACGAAAGCGUGGGGAGCGAACAGGAUUAGAUACCCUGGUAGUCCACGCUGUAAACGAUGAUCACUCGUUGUUGGCUACUUAGUAGUCAGUGACCAAGGGAAACCGAUAAGUGAUCCACCUGGGGAGUACGUCGGCAACGAUGAAACUCAAAGGAAUUGACGGGGGCCCGCACAAGCGGAGGAACAUGUGGUUUAAUUCGAUGAUACGCGAGGAACCUUACCUGGGCUUAAAUGCUGGCUGCAUUGGAGGGAAACCUUCAUUUCCCUACGGGACCGCCAGCAAGGUGCUGCAUGGUUGUCGUCAGCUCGUGCCGUGAGGUGUCGGGUUAAGUCCCAUAACGAGCGCAACCCCUAUCGCUAGUUGCCAGCAUGUAAUGGUGGGGACUCUAGCGAGACUGCCGGUGUAAACCGGAGGAAGGUGGGGAUGACGUCAAAUCAGCACGGCCCUUACGUCCAGGGCUACACACGUGUUACAAUGGCCGGUACAAAGAGCAGCCACCUGGCGACAGGGCGCUAAUCUCAAAAACCGGUCUCAGUUCGGAUCGAAGUCUGCAAUUCGACUUCGUGAAGGUGGAUUCGCU
rnacentral:rRNA from 1 species